rnacentral:rRNA from 1 species
UACAUGGGGUGCAAACGUUGCUCGGAAUCAUUGGGCGUAAAGGGCGCGUAGGCGGCCACGCACGUCCGUUGUGAAAUCGCUCGGCUCAACUGGGCGGGGUCAGCGGAUACGGUGUGGCUAGAGCAAGCUAGGGGGCAAUGGAAUUCCCGGUGUAGUGGUGGAAUGCGUAGAUAUCGGGAGGAACACCAGUGGCGAAGGCGGGUCUCUGGACAGUUCCUGACGCUGAGGCACGAAGGUCAGGGGAGCAAACGGGG